rnacentral:rRNA from 1 species
AAAUUGAAGAGUUUGAUCAUGGCUCAGAUUGAACGCUGGCGGCAGGCCUAACACAUGCAAGUCGAACGGUAACAGGAAGCAGCUUGCUGCUUUGCUGACGAGUGGCGGACGGGUGAGUAAUGUCUGGGAAACUGCCUGAUGGAGGGGGAUAACUACUGGAAACGGUAGCUAAUACCGCAUAACGUCGCAAGACCAAAGAGGGGGACCUUCGGGCCUCUUGCCAUCGGAUGUGCCCAGAUGGGAUUAGCUAGUUGGUGGGGUAACGGCUCACCUAGGCGACGAUCCCUAGCUGGUCUGAGAGGAUGACCAGCCACACUGGAACUGAGACACGGUCCAGACUCCUACGGGAGGCAGCAGUGGGGAAUAUUGCACAAUGGGCGCAAGCCUGAUGCAGCCAUGCCGCGUGUAUGAAGAAGGCCUUCGGGUUGUAAAGUACUUUCAGCGGGGAGGAAGGGAGUAAAGUUAAUACCUUUGCUCAUUGACGUUACCCGCAGAAGAAGCACCGGCUAACUCCGUGCCAGCAGCCGCGGUAAUACGGAGGGUGCAAGCGUUAAUCGGAAUUACUGGGCGUAAAGCGCACGCAGGCGGUUUGUUAAGUCAGAUGUGAAAUCCCCGGGCUCAACCUGGGAACUGCAUCUGAUACUGGCAAGCUUGAGUCUCGUAGAGGGGGGUAGAAUUCCAGGUGUAGCGGUGAAAUGCGUAGAGAUCUGGAGGAAUACCGGUGGCGAAGGCGGCCCCCUGGACGAAGACUGACGCUCAGGUGCGAAAGCGUGGGGAGCAAACAGGAUUAGAUACCCUGGUAGUCCACGCCGUAAACGAUGUCGACUUGGAGGUUGUGCCCUUGAGGCGUGGCUUCCGGAGCUAACGCGUUAAGUCGACCGCCUGGGGAGUACGGCCGCAAGGUUAAAACUCAAAUGAAUUGACGGGGGCCCGCACAAGCGGUGGAGCAUGUGGUUUAAUUCGAUGCAACGCGAAGAACCUUACCUGGUCUUGACAUCCACAGAACUUUCCAGAGAUGGAUUGGUGCCUUCGGGAACUGUGAGACAGGUGCUGCAUGGCUGUCGUCAGCUCGUGUUGUGAAAUGUUGGGUUAAGUCCCGCAACGAGCGCAACCCUUAUCCUUUGUUGCCAGCGGUCCGGCCGGGAACUCAAAGGAGACUGCCAGUGAUAAACUGGAGGAAGGUGGGGAUGACGUCAAGUCAUCAUGGCCCUUACGACCAGGGCUACACACGUGCUACAAUGGCGCAUACAAAGAGAAGCGACCUCGCGAGAGCAAGCGGACCUCAUAAAGUGCGUCGUAGUCCGGAUUGGAGUCUGCAACUCGACUCCAUGAAGUCGGAAUCGCUAGUAAUCGUGGAUCAGAAUGCCACGGUGAAUACGUUCCCGGGCCUUGUACACACCGCCCGUCACACCAUGGGAGUGGGUUGCAAAAGAAGUAGGUAGCUUAACCUUCGGGAGGGCGCUUACCACUUUGUGAUUCAUGACUGGGGUGAAGUCGUAACAAGGUAACCGUAGGGGAACCUGCGGUUGGAUCACCUCCUUACCUUAAAGAAGC